AAUGGCAUAUGAUGAACACAUCAUUUUCGCUUAUUGAUAUACUGAUGUUCCGUGUUGACUCAACUCCGCUUAUUAUCUGAUGCCAUU